rnacentral:rRNA from 1 species
UACGUAGGGUGCAAGCGUUGUCCGGAAUUAUUGGGCGUAAAGAGCUCGUAGGCGGUCUGUUGCGUCGGCUGUGAAAACCCGGGGCUCAACCCCGGGCCUGCAGCCGAUACGGGCAGACUAGAGUUCGGCAGGGGAGACUGGAAUUCCUGGUGUAGCGGUGAAAUGCGCAGAUAUCAGGAGGAACACCGGUGGCGAAGGCGGGUCUCUGGGCCGAUACUGACGCUGAGGAGCGAAAGCGUGGGGGAGCGAACAGG